rnacentral:rRNA from 1 species
UACGUAGGGUGCGAGCGUUGUCCGGAAUUAUUGGGCGUAAAGGGCUCGUAGGCGGUCUGUCGCGUCGGGAGUGAAAACUCAGGGCUUAACCCUGAGCCUGCUUCCGAUACGGGCAGACUAGAGGUAUGCAGGGGAGAACGGAAUUCCUGGUGUAGCGGUGGAAUGCGUAGAGAUCGGGAGGAAGGCCGGUGGCGAAGGCGGCUCUCUGGAACGUCCCUGACGCUGAGGCGCGAAAGCGUGGGGAGCAAACAGG